rnacentral:rRNA from 1 species
GGGGCAACCUGGCGGCGAGCGGCGAACGGGUGAGUAAUGCAUCGGAACAUGUCCAUGUCGUGGGGGAUAGCCCGGCGAAAGCCGGAUUAAUACCGCAUAAGCCCGAGAGGGGAAAGUGGGGGACCGCAAGGCCUCACGCGAUUGGGUUGGCCGAUGUCCGAUUAGCUAGUUGGCGGGGUAAGAGCCCACCAAGGCGAUGAUCGGUAGCUGGUCUGAGAGGAUGAUCAGCCACACUGGGACUGAGACACGGCCCAGACUCCUACGGGAGGCAGCAGUGGGGAAUUUUGGACAAUGGGGGCAACCCUGAUCCAGCCACUCCGCGUGAGUGAAGAAGGCCUUCGGGUUGUAAAGCUCUUUUGUCCGGAACGAAACGGGUAACGUGAAUAUCGUUGCCUACUGACGGUACCGGAAGAAUAAGCACCGGCUAACUACGUGCCAGCAGCCGCGGUAAUACGUAGGGUGCGAGCGUUAAUCGGAAUUACUGGGCGUAAAGCGUGCGCAGGCGGUUUUGUAAGCCAGAUGUGAAAUCCCCGGGCUUAACCUGGGAAUGGCAUUUGGGACUGCAAGGCUGGAGUGUGGCAGAGGAGACUGGAAUUCCUGGUGUAGCAGUGAAAUGCGUAGAUAUCAGGAGGAAUACCGAUGGCGAAGGCAGGUCUCUGGGCUGACACUGACGCUCAUGCACGAAAGCGUGGGGAGCAAACAGGAUUAGAUACCCUGGUAGUCCACGCCCUAAACGAUGUCGACUGGUUGUUGGGGGUUUGACACUCUCAGUAACGAAGCUAACGCGUGAAGUCGACCGCCUGGGGAGUACGGCCGCAAGGUUAAAACUC